AGGUGAGAGGACUGUGAGGGGCUGAAGAAGCUGAAGGGGGCUGGGGGUUUGGCGAGAGCAUGGGUGGGGCUGAGGGGAUGGAGGGGCCAGCAGGGAGCACAGAGGGCUCUGGGACUGCAGCUCUGACAGGCCUUGGAACCAAUUCCAGAGCCUCCACUUUUGCCACAGCUGCAAAGAAAACCUUGAGAACAGCCGGAGACUGCCAGGAGCCAGCAGGGAGAAGCUGAGUGCCAGCAGCAGGAGCAGUGAGCAGGGCCCUGCUGCUGCCAGCCUGGAGAGAGCCCGGAUGUCCCAUCUGCUGUCCCUGUCCAGGAGAUGUGCCGAACUUCAUCUGCAGGAUCAGAAGAACCAGUGUCCUUUGGCCUCCCCCAGUUCCCACUGAGGACGAGAGCACCUGCAGAGCAGAGGAGACCAGCUGCAGCUCCAGGCCCAGGUCUUGCUGGUCACAGCUGAGCCUGUGUGAAAAGGUUUCUUAAGUUAUAGGUUAAAAUUCAACACAUAAUUCUACAAGCUAAAAUUUAAAUGCUGAAUUCAUAUUGCUAACUCAAGGGAGCUCCAAAAAUCUCUAUUUCAAAAGCAACAAACCUUUGAAAGGUUAAACCUCAACAGAGCUGUGAUCCUCCAUCAAUACCUCCUUCUUCCACUUGCUUAAAAUCUCUUUGUUCUGGGCACUCACUAAGGCCUUUUUCCUGGAAGCUCUCUGGCUGUCUUGAAUGCUUAUGGAGUAACAGGUAAUCCCUGAUCUAUUUUCAACUCUCUGCCCAGAGACUUCUGGAAGGGAGGUAGGACUGGUACUGGGGACCUGGCAGCUUGUCCAGGAAUCAAAAUUAUUGAAAUAAUGGUAAUGUGGACAAGGCAUGCAAGUCCAGGUGGUGAGCUCAAAUAUGCAAGUACUUGCAGUUUCCCCUCAGCACUUGACAGCUAAGGGGUAUGGUCUCUUCUUAUUUCUGUCUCUUAAUCCUCAAUCCUUGCCACACUCCUUCAACAUCUUUUGCAUUGUCAUCUUCCCUGUUUUCUCCCUCCCUUCUUCUUUCUGUGACUUUCUGUACACGACAGACUAUCUGUCACACUCUGUCAGCUUGCUCAGUCACCCGAGCAGUGAUAAUGAUGGUGUAGAAAUUGUAGGUGCACAGGAGGCAAAGGUGUCAUGCUUCUGUGUGCCCUCUGCAGGCAAAGCUGCUUCCCGAAGCUUCAGUCAAACUUGGAACAAAGGCUUGUCCCCACUGCAGGGACAAGAGAGGUAGGAAACUGGGCUCAUAAAACAUGCUUCUUCUGCUUCAACAAAAAACCGUGACUUCCCUUCACAGAGAAGGAUGUAAACUUUUUCUUGAAGGGAAUAAACAAAUCUCUUUAUGUCCUGAUCUUUUACCAGUCUGAAAUUAUUUAAAAAUGUCGUAAAUUUUGUUUGUUUGUUUGUUUCUUUGUGGUGUUUUUUUUUGUUUGUUUUGGGGGUUUUUUGGGUUUGUUUUUUUUUGUUUGUUUGUUUGUUUUGUUUUGUCUUGUUUUGGUUUUUUUGGGGGUUUUUUUGGUUGUUUUUGGUUUUUUGGGUUUUUUUUUUUUUGUUGUUGUUGUUCUGGGGUUGGGUCUGCAUUUCAAGCCUGUUCUCCCAGCAGUCAGGGACCUGCACAGCUGCUGUGGGUGGGGCAGGUGCUCAGGUAAUUACCAACAGGUAAUUACUAACAGCCAGGUGAGAAGUUGGCUUGUGCCUGGUUGAGGGCUUGAGGACUGUGCUGAGAGAAGGGCUAGGGAGUGGAGUGGAAAAUACAAUUUACACAAGCAGAACCUGCUGUCCCCUGCGCUCGGAACAGGCGUGGAGGGUCCCCAAGGCAUCCUCAGAAUGGGCUUUGCCCUCACCUUGGCUUGUGCUGCUGCAGAUUUUGGAGACAAUUGUGCAUAAGAACGGGCACUAGAACCAGACUUGGGGCUGGCAUGCUCUGCAUUUCCAGAAUGGCUCAUGGACAGGAGAUCUGGAUCUUCCCCGGCUCAUGACAAGGUGAGGCCAUGAUCUGCCAGCAGUCCUGGGAGCUGCUUCAGCUGACAGCUUAGAGCAGCCCAUGGGCACUCCUCUGCAACCCUCCACAACAAGGUCAUUUGGGGUGGAGGUUGUCCUCUACCCUUUCCAUCCCUUAAGGCAAAGAUUUUAAAUUAACAAGUAAAUCAGAAAACAGGCUUAUUCUUGUCAUAAAGAAAUUCCAUUUGCUACAAUAUUUUCUUAAUAUGUGCACAAUUUUAUAAUAAAGGUACUGGGCUUCCA